GGCCGGGCCGGCCUGACAGCCGCAUCCAUCGCCUAGACGCGCGCUGAUGGCGGCCCGGCCUGCAUGGCCCGGCCAUUAAUCACCGUGCCUGCCGCCAAGUGACGGGGAGGGGCGGCAGGGCAGCAGGGGCCGACAGGCAGUCCCCGCGGCCGGCCCACCCCUUCCCCAUUCUGGGGCCCCACUGCGUGGCCCACCCUGCGCCCUGAGCUCCCCAGUCCCGCUGCCCAGGACUCCCUCACCCCCUAUCCUGCUCUCCCCAGAAUGGAAGGGGAGUGGCCGCACACUGGAGGAAGCAAGGAAGAGGAACUUCUGUGUGGAGAAUGAAUGGAUGACCAUGAAUGGAGGGGUGAACACUGUUCUACCUCCCGAGGGACCUCUUUUCCAGACACCAAAUGAGAGCAGGGUCUGUUUCCCUCUUAGUAAUGGAUGGAGAAACUUCUCAUAGUCGGCGAGGGAUCAGUCGUAAAAACUUCGCCUAGAAGAUUAAUGUAAUAAUCACAGACCUUGCUGGAAAAACUAGGAGGAAAAUUAAAAUAAUCUCACCUUCCUACCUAUCCAGAACCAUCUCCCUCACUUUGGAGCACAGACCAGCGAAUUGGGCCAGCUCUCUGGGCACCACCUCAGCUAGGAUACCUGAGGAGCAGGAACCAAAGGUCUGUGGCCUGGGAAGAGCGAGACCACUGUCCCCUCCUCACCUGGCUGCUCUGGAUGUUGGUACCUUGGGCAGCCGAAGAAGACUCUGUCCCCACCCACGGCUGGGAGAUCUGCUGUCAGCACCACUUCCAUCCUGUUCCUUAAACACCAUGAAAGGCUUGGGGCCCAAGUGAGAGGCCCCGCUGGAGCAGAGGUCUGCCUGGUUCUUGUCCUCUAGGUGGGUCACCUUCUCCACACUGGACCCCGCUUCCUUCACCUGCCUGGUAGAAAGGUCAGAUCUUGACAGCUCCUAGCUGCCACUAAAUGCCAACACAGAAAGAGGCAGUAUGGCCCCCAGGUGUUAGGAACACAGGUUCCAAACAGCCUGAUUUCAAAUCCUGGUUCCGUCUCUCACUAGCUGGGCAAGGGACUUGCCUGAACUGCCCCUCCUCCUCUAUGGAAGUGGACUUGGAAGUGGGCUAGCACACCUAUCCCAGUCUCACAGGCUACCGUGAAGGCAACAUGGAACGCAGAGUGUGAACACAGUCCCUGGUGCAAUAAGCUCUUGCUGCAUCUCUCUUCUGUUUGUCUAACAUGGCUCGAGUGGGGAGGCUAAAGACAAGUGCAGCCUCAGAGGACACUGGCAGCCAGCAUGGGCCACAUGCACAGCUGACUCCAUGAAGGGUCCUACCACCACUGCUGUGCAUGUCAGGGUCCUCAGGGGCCAGGCCCAGGGAGAAGAUUCACACUGGCAGCAGGGACAGGCUGGCGCCUCUCAGGCUAGGUGGGAUCCCCAGCAUCAUCUCCGCCCCCUCCCACUGUCCCCUUGACAUGACUACAGGGGACUGUCCCUAAUGGAAGGACAAUGCUGCUUGCCCCACAAGGAGCUCAUUGUUAGUUUGGACUAAAGCACUGAACCAAGAUGACCAUCCUGGUCAGCCCUGCCUCCCAUAUCAUAACAGCACAGAGAUCCAGUCUGAACUUGCACAAGGGGCAAGUGGUAGGAACAGUGUCCGGGUGCUCAGCCCUACCUCAGGCACCACAGAGCCGGCAGGGAAGGACAGGCGUGGCAAGGGCAAGAACGCAGCGCUCAUCCUACUGGGAAGGCACAUUCCAGUCAAGUGCACUGCCCAGUGCUGCACUUGCCCUUGCUGCUUACUUAGUGGGUGAACCCAGAGAUGCGGCCAGAGAGAUGGGGACACAUCAGAGGGACACAUGAGCCAACUGACAGAGCUCUCACUGGCCAAAGCUGGCUCAAUUUGAGCAACAAAAUAAAUCUACUAAAGUAUACGAUGAA